CCUACGGGAGGCAGCAGUGAGGAAUAUUGGACAAUGGGCGCAAGCCUGAUCCAGCCAUGCCGCGUGCAGGAAGAAGCAUCUAUGGUGUGUAAACUGCUUUUGUACAGGAAGAAACACUCCCUCGUGAGGGAGCUUGACGGUACUGUAAGAAUAAGGACCGGCUAACUCCGUGCCAGCAGCCGCGGUAAUACGGAGGGUCCGAGCGUUAUCCGGAAUCAUUGGGUUUAAAGGGUCCGUAGGCGGUUUAAUAAGUCAGUGGUGAAAUCUGGUCGCUCAACGAUCAAACGGCCAUUGAUACUGUUAGACUUGAAUUAUAAGGAAGUAACUAGAAUAUGUAGUGUAGCGGUGAAAUGCUUAGAUAUUACAUGGAAUACCAAUUGCGAAGGCAGGUUACUACUUAUGGAUUGACGCUGAUGGACGAAAGCGUGGGGAGCGAACAGGAUUAGAUACCCUGGUAGUCCACGCCGUAAACGAUGGAUACUAGCUGUUCGGAGCAAUCUGAGUGGCUAAGCGAAAGUGAUAAGUAUCCCACCUGGGGAGUACGUUCGCAGAAUGAAACUCAAAUGAAUUGACGG
rnacentral:rRNA from 1 species